CCUCAGUUCGGAUUGCAGCCUGCAACUCGGCUGCAUGAAGCUGGAAUCGCUAGUAAUCGCGGAUCAGAAUGCCGCGGUGAAUACGUUCCCGGGUCUUGUACACACCGCCCGUCACACCAUGGGAGCCGGAAACGCCCGAAGCCAGCGGCCCAACCGCAAGGGGGGAGCUGUCGAAGGCGGGUCCGGUGACCGGGGUGAAGUCGUAACAAGGUAUC
rnacentral:rRNA from 1 species